rnacentral:rRNA from 1 species
AGAGUUUGAUCAUGGCUCAGAACGAACGCUGGCGGCAGGCCUAACACAUGCAAGUCGAACGGUCCCUUCGGGGAUAGUGGCAGACGGGUGAGUAACGCGUGGGAAGCUACCUUGUGGUAAGGAACAACAGUUGGAAACGACUGCUAAUACCUUAUGUGCCCUAUUGGGGAAAGAUUUAUCGCCAUAAGAUGUGCCCGCGUUGGAUUAGCUAGUUGGUGAGGUAAUGGCUCACCAAGGCGACGAUCCAUAGCUGGUCUGAGAGGAUGAUCAGCCACACUGGGACUGAGACACGGCCCAGACUCCUACGGGAGGCAGCAGUGGGGAAUAUUGGACAAUGGGGGCAACCCUGAUCCAGCCAUGCCGCGUGAGUGAUGACGGCCUUAGGGUUGUAAAGCUCUUUCAGCAGUGAAGAUAAUGACAUUAACUGCAGAAGAAGCCCCGGCUAACUUCGUGCCAGCAGCCGCGGUAAUACGAAGGGGGCUAGCGUUGUUCGGAAUCACUGGGCGUAAAGCGCACGUAGGCGGACUUUUAAGUUAGGGGUGAAAUCCCGGGGCUCAACCUCGGAACUGCCUUUGAUACUGGAAGUCUA